CUAUAAAGGAGAUACCACCUGCGCAUAUUAGAACUCAACUGCAAAACCGGAACUUCAUACGCUACCGGCGCAUCUUAGAGUACUCCACCACUGCUACUCUUUACUUUUCCGGUGACGAUGUCCGAUCAAAACCCUAAACCCUAAAUCAACCCGCCGAUCUAUCUAUUGGGAAUGGGGAGCAUUAAGCGAAUACCUGAGUCUAUUUGGAGUUCAAUUGGAUCAGGGGUUAUCUUGUUGUUGAGGAGUUGGUUUUCAACAGCCUUGAUGCUGGUGCCACCAAGGUGUACCAAUUUACCCUUUCAAAGUUUCAAUACUCUUUAUGACUUUACUAGGUAUUGAAUGGAAAGAUGUGGAGUUGUUCUUGAAGGACCCAUUCGCACAACUUUAAAAAAAUUAAGUAGUUUAAUUAUAAGAAGUUGUGUAGUAUUAUGAAUGAAGAUACUCAAUUGGCAGACUUUUAUAAAUGCCCUCAGUGGCCAUUUUCCUUUACAUGCUCUAGACUUUUUGACUUUGAUUGUAUCUUAAAAAUGGAAAAUUGUGCCAUGUAAGAGAAUGGGGAAUUAUGGUUCAUCUUUUCUGAUUUUGUUAAUGUUUUGAGGAUCAGUAAAGAUGGGCUGCUGAUAACAUCAUAGUUAAGUGACUAACAAUGCCGUGCUUUCAUGCAGUUUUAAUCGUUUAGACUAAUUGCGCCUGCAAAUUUGUGUGUUUCUUACACAAAAGGCAGAGACCGGUGAGGCUCUUCCAUGAAUUCUUAUGUUCCUUUGUUUGCUACUUCUGAUGACGUGGGUAUAUGCUUUAUAUGAAAAUUGAUGCUAUUUUUUCUCCUCUUAACAAGAUGCUCCAUUCUAGUAUCAUAUUUUUUUUUCCAAAUGAAUAUUCUUAUAUCAAAACACUUAUUUCUUUUUUUCCCAUGAGAUUUACUUCCUUGUUGGACUGUUCUUUUUGUGUUUGUUGUUCUUAUAAGUCGUGUACUCCUUGGUUGAACUUUAACCCAGUUUCCACUUUCUACACCUAGGGAAUUAAUAUCUUUUUACAGAUGUUCUUUUAUUUAUUAUUUUGUGGUUCUACUUGUAACUGGGAGAACUGGUAUGGCAGUACACAACACAAAAUAUUGCUUCUUACAUUUUGUUUUUGCUUUUCUUGUAAGAUGUUAUGUACAUCUCAAUCUUGGUGCUUCAUUUGCAAUAUAUAUAUGUGUGUAUCCCCCUCCUCUUUUUUUUUGGUACUUCAUCUUCUGUUGUGCUUCCUUUUUCUCUGGACAUUUUAACUAUGGUUUUAUAUGCUUGCUUUACACUAGCGACAUCAAAAUGCAGCCGUUCAGCUGAUAUGUCUGCUUUCCCAAAAAGCCUUUGGCUUUAAAGGAGAGGCACUGAGCUCUAUUUCUAGUGUUUCUUUGUUCGAUAUUGUUACCAAAACUCAUGGGAGGCCAAAUGGAUAUCGUACGGUUUUGAGGACGGCAAGUGUUUGUACCUUGGAGUUGAUGGUUGUAGACAAGAUGUUGGUACAACAGUCAUUGUUCGUGAUGUAUUUUACAACCAACCAGUUCGAAGGAAGCAAAUGCACUCCAAUCCUAAAAGAGUUUUCAUUCUCCAAAAGAGUCUCUGCUAAGAAUCGCCCUUGCGCAUCCCAGUGUCUCCUUCAAAAUUGUUUAUAUCGAAAGGUCUGUCUUUGAUACACUAGCUAACUUAAGGAUAUUUCCUGUCUGGUUUCUUAGAUUUUGUUCAUUUGCAUGCCGUGAGGAUGACUUGCUUUGCAUACGUCCUUCUCCUUCUCCUUGCCUUUGUUGUCCAGUAGGUUUGGGAUUCAUUUGAGUUCCUUUAACAAAUUUAAUGCAAGCAUUGGUGCAUUCAAGCUUUCAGGAUACAUCUCAGGUCCUGAUGCUUACACAGUGAAGGUAUACAGGUCCAAAUUGAUGGAUAAAGAGAUGUGAUAAGUCAUCUUUUCUACACUUUGUUUCCCUAACAACCACUGUUUAAUUUUCAGGUCCUUCAGUAUUUCUGUAUCCACUUAUUUCAGUAUGUUGUCUUGACAAAAGAAACAAAAAACUAAUUUUUGGUUAACAUUUACUAUAUCGGAUGCUUGUUUUUUUACCUUGUUUUUGUUUUCCUUGACCUUCGUAAUGCAAAUAUCAAUUCAAGAUUUGUUUCCAAUGGGCCAAUACAUAAAUUACUUGAUAACAUAGCUAUGAGUUUUAGAAGUAAUAGGUUAAAACACCUAAUCAUUUUUUGAAACUUUAAUGUGGGUGAAAUAAAUAGGUUAAAACUGGCUAAACAUCAUAAUUGAUUACUAAUCGUAUAGGCAUUUCAAUGUAUUAAAAAGGACCCCCUAACAGUUAUAAGGCCCUUGCAUCACAGCUGUUCCCAGAGAACAAAAUACUCUCUCCCAUUAAUUAUGCGAGAACAAUGCAACCACGUUCUAGCUUCUUUUGGUUGCAAAACUAAACAGACCAAUGUUAACAUGGACAUGUCAUACAUAUAUGUUUUACUAAUUGUAGUGUUGUAUUUCUCAUUACAAUGUAUUUGCUGCUUUCUAAGACUGACAAUUCCUCCAUUUUGAACUUAGUUUCCUGAUUUUUGCUUACCUAAUCAUUUUUGUUUCCCUUUAAAUGGA